rnacentral:rRNA from 1 species
UGGGGAAUAUUGCACAAUGGGGGAAACCCUGAUGCAGCGACGCCGCGUGAACGAAGAAGGUAUUCGUAUCGUAAAGUUCUGUCCUAUGGGAAGAUAAUAACAGUACCAUAGAAGAAAGCUCCGGCUAAAUACGUGCCAGCAGCCGCGGUAAUACGUAUGGAGCGAGCGUUGUCCGGAAUUAUUGGGCGUAAAGGGUACGCAGGCGGUUUAAUAAGUCGAAUGUUAAAGAUCGGGGCUCAACCCCGUAAAGCAUUGGAAACUGAUAAACUUGAGUAGUGGAGAGGAAAGUGGAAUUCCUAGUGUAGUGGUGAAAUACGUAGAUAUUAGGAGGAAUACCAGUAGCGAAGGCGACUUUCUGGACACAAACUGACGCUGAGGUACGAAAGCGUGGGGAGCAAACAGG